AUUGAACGCUGGCGGCAUGCCUUACACAUGCAAGUCGAACGGCAGCACGGGGGCAACCUUGGUGGCGAGUGGCGAACGGGUGAGUAAUGCAUCGGAACGUGCCCAGUAGUGGGGGAUAACUAGUCGAAAGAUUAGCUAAUACCGCAUACGACCUAUGGGUGAAAGCGGGGGAUUCGCAAGAACCUCGCGCUAUCGGAGCGGCCGAUGUCUGAUUAGCUAGUUGGCGGGGUAAAAGCCCACCAAGGCGACGAUCAGUAGCUGGUCUGAGAGGACGACCAGCCACACUGGGACUGAGACACGGCCCAGACUCCUACGGGAGGCAGCAGUGGGGAAUUUUGGACAAUGGGCGCAAGCCUGAUCCAGCCAUGCCGCGUGCGGGAAGAAGGCCU
rnacentral:rRNA from 1 species